CCCCUCAAUGAUUUUGAACUAAUUUCCUUUCUUCUUGCAGGGUUAGGAUCUGAAUUUGAUCCUUUUGUGACAUCUGUCACUACCAGGGUCGACCCUAUGACAAUGGAGGAACUCUACUCUCAUCUUCUCACGCACGAGA